UGCAGCUCAUUGGCCGAGUUGUCGUCACGGGGAAGGCAGAGCACAUGGAGUGGAGAAACUACCCUUGGCACAUUCGCAGAUUAUUUGUUUACCACUUAGAACACAGGAUGUCAGCACCAUCUUGUAAAGGCAAAUGUGAGGGCGGCUCCCCACAUCUCCCCCUUUCCUUUUAAUAAGAGCAAUAGGCCACCCAUAUUAAUGAGAGUGGAGAUAGAGGUCAAAUCCCCAGUGUGCAGGUAAAGGAGCUGUACACAAAACCUCCUUCCAGGCUCAUCACCCAGAGGGGUCCUGGUCUGGUCCUGUGUCGUUUUUCCUGGGGAGAAGGACACUUGGACACUCAACCUUCUUGAAAGAUGACAUGUCUCCCUAGAAUAGGCUCAUAUGUGCCGCAGAGCCCUUCUACUGCAGUGCUUAGCCGUGCAACUCUCUCGGGCUGCUGAAGCACACUCACUCUAUCCCGUGCAAUGAGACUAGCCUCGUGGGGUGCAAGAGCUGAAUGGCCAGCGACCUAUUGUUUAAGCAUAGAUAACUAUAUAUCAGGGGAAGCACCAUGUUCUAGUGCUGCAAGCGCCUGGGCAAUAACCACCUUAUCUCUCCUAGUUUGGGCCUUAAGCUUACAGACCAACCAGAGAAGCAACACUAAUCCACAGCAAAUUGUAUCUCCAAAUAAUAUCAAUCCCACCCAUUCUUUAAAGAAGGAAAAUGCUGAGGAGAUCCAAUUGGGUAAUCCUUUGGUCAGGGACAGGUCCAAGCGCGUGGAGUUGACCUGAAUGAUGGCAAGUCUCAAUUCCCGAAGGGUCUGUUCAAAUUCAGCCGUCCAAAUCUGUAACAUAUACUGAGAAAGACUUUUUGACAAAUUAGCUGCCCUAGUAAAUUUCUCAUACUGAAUGGAAAUAACGCACAAUCCCGGAAACUUUUGUUCACAUCCCAGCUGAGCUAUUUGCCAUAAUACAUCUAGUUGUUCCUGGACAAGAUUUAUGAGUUGAUUAACCAGCAUGAGACCUCCCUGUAUCUUGACAUUAGCUGAGGCCUGUUUAUCUAUGACUGUGGUCACCGAGGCUGACAAUGUGUUAAUGGUGUCAGUCGUCUGGACCUGUCCAGACAGAGCCAAGGCUGUCUGAACAAGGCCAAACCCAGUUCCUUGUUAGUGGUAAAAAAGGCAGGGGAAUACUUGAGCAUUAUACAUCACCGGCAUUGGGAGUGGAAAUGUCGACAUUAUCCCCCAACGCUGCUCUCUCUUUGUUAUUGUCGCCCUGGACAUCACCAAGAUGAGGGACAUCAGUAUUCCCUUGGUCAGUCUGGAUUUUUCGGGUGUGUCUUUCUGGUAUCCAAAAUGGGUUGUCUUCAUUCUGUGGAAAAACACAAACAGCUCCCCUGGAUAUUAUCAAAAUAGGAUCCGGUCCUUUCCAUUUGUUACAUAAAACAUCUUUCCAUUUAACCAUCUCAUUGGGCCUAUCUGGCUCUGAACAAUGACGUUCAGCCGCAGUAUGGCCAUGAGCAUCAAGAUUUAAAAAAUUGAGUGUAAAGAGUGCCAUAGACACAGACACUCUUGGUACUCGGGGUAGAGCCUCGACUCCCCUUUUCUGUUUUAAUAGGAUUUGAGGGUGCGAUGCACAUGCUCAACAAUACCCUGUCCUUGAGGGUUGUAUGGAAGUCCAGUCAGGUGGGUCAUGUCUAUCUGACGGCAGAACUGCUGGAAUUUUUGAGAUGCAUAAGCUGGUCCAUUAUCAGUCUUAAGGAGUUUGGGUUUCCCCCAAGCACUUCAUGCCUCAAGGCAAUGUUGAAUCACAUGUGAGGCUUUUUUCUCCGGUUAAAGGAGAGGCAAACAUGAUGCCAGAGCAGGUGUCAAUAGAGACAUGUAAAUAUUGAUUUCUCCCAAAGGAGGAAAUAUGCGUGACAUCCAUUUGCCAGACCUGUAAUGGCCUGACGCCACGGGGGUUUACCCCUACAUGAGGAGUAGAUAAAAUUUGACAACAAUCUAAAGGCAUUACUAAGUAAUCAGAAUCAUUUCCAGUAGAACCAAUCCCUCUGGCAGCUCGAGGAAUACCAGAGGAAGGAAAACAGCUAUGUAGGCUUGGCAAAAUUAUUAGUUGAGCUAUUCUGUCUCCUUGUGAUAUAGAAAAGACAACUUGAGGACAAGAACAGAGAACCUGAAGUUCCCCUUUAUAAUCCUGAUCUACAACUCUAGGGUGGACAAUAAGACCUUGUAGGCUGCAAGAGCCUGCCUCUGUCUCCCAAGUGCUGGGAUUAACGGCAUGCGCCACCACUGCUCGGCUUCUUCAAAGACCGGAAAUGCCUGUUGCAUUUUCCUUUGUUCCUCUCUGGGAAUGAACGAGUCUGCACAUUGCCUCUCUGUCCAUUGCCUCUCUGCGCAGGGCUGACGCAUUACGCAGGACGGGGCCUCCGCAUAGGGCGGAGGUGCACUAUGACCUUGAAGCCAACUGCCCGGAGGCCAAGCAGCACGCUGGCCUUCGCCAGCAGCUUUUGGCUUUUUCCUUAACUGAUUAGCUAGCAUUUUAUCUGGCUGGUACCCUUUUCUCUCAUAAUGAGCUGCUUCUUCCUCCAAGUCUGUUUCCUCAGAGGAGAAUUCUUCAUCUGAUUCAGAGCUACUAAGAGCUGGCUCCUUGAGCUCAUCUAGUGAUGGGUAUAGGCUCCUUCUCCUAGAAACCUCCGCUGAUUGAUCUUUUUUCUUUUCUUUUUCCUUCUCCUUCCUUCCAAUCUCUCCCCAGGUAUUCUUCCCUGACCUAAACUUUUCCUCGGGUUCAAGACCCUUGGAAAGGCCUGUAUACUUAUUUUGUGCACCAUAUUUCCUCUUUGCUCCUACUCUCUCUCCCCGCUUUACUUCUGAUAGAUUGCCCUGAAUUUCAUCCAGAAUUUUCAGCCCUGCCUUAACUGCUUGAUAACAUGUGAAAAGGAACAAAACAAAAAGGCUCCUAACACUGGAGAAAGUUCAAGGCCAAACAUACCUUGUAAAGCUAUUCCCCGCUUUACUUCUGAUAGACUGUCUUGAAUUUCGUUAGAAAGUUCAAGGCCAGACAUACCUUGUAAAGCCUGUUUCCCACUUUACUUCUGAUAGACUGUCUUGAAUUUCAUUAGAAAGUUCAAGACCAGACCUACCUUGUAAAGCUAUUUCCCACUUUACUUCUGAUAGACUGUCUUGAAUUUCGUUAGAAAGUUCAAGACCAGACCUACCUUGUAAAGCUAUACUUACGGGUACCCCUGUUCCCCAGCUGAAGAGUUCUGAAUCCACGCAGUUGAAUCCUUCUCAACAGUCUGUUUUACGGGAACACUUCAUUACCACCGUUCCCCAGCUGAAGAGUUCUGAAUCCACGCCGGAUCCUUCUCAACAGUCUGUUUUACGGGAACCUUUAUGACCGUGACCCGCAGUUCUGGUUCCGGAAUGAGGGAUCUUCCUUGUGCCGGUGAUGGUAAUUCCCGUCCCGGGUUUUCUCGUCCCAGGUUCCAGCACCAAUUCUUACACGCAUUCCCGACCGGCCAGGAAGAACGAAACAAACCGGAAUCUUCUGCGGCAAAAGCUUUAUUGCUUACAUCUUCAGGAGCAAGAGAGAGAAUGGCGAAACCCUGUCCCUUUUAAGGAGAAUUAUCCUCCGCCUAGGACGUGUCGAUCCCUGAUUGGCUGCAGCCCAUUGGCCAAGUUGUCGUCACGGGGAAGGCAGAGCACAUGGAGUGGAGAAUUACCCUUGGCACAUUCGCAGAUUAUUUGUUUACGACUUAGAACACAGGAUGUCAGCGCCAUCUUGUAAAGGCGAAUGUGAGGGCGGCUCCACACUGAGGAUGCAGAAUUGC
rnacentral:lncRNA from 1 species